GGUGGGGACUCUAAACAGACUGCCUGUGCAAACAGAGAGGAAGGUGGGGACGACGUCAAGUCAUCAUGGCCCUUACGUCCGGGGCUACACACGUGCUACAAUGGAUGGUACAGCGGGCAGCUACAUAGCAAUAUGAUGCUAAUCUCUAAAAGCCAUUCACAGUUCGGAUUGGGGUCUGCAACUCGACCCCAUGAAGUUGGAUUCGCUAGUAAUCGCGUAUCAGCAAUGACGCGGUGAAUACGUUCCCGGGCCUUGUACACACCGCCCGUCAAGCCAUGAAAGUUGGGGGUACCUAAAGCAUGUUACCGCAAGGAGCGUGUUAGGGUAA
rnacentral:rRNA from 1 species